rnacentral:rRNA from 1 species
UGGGGAAUAUUGGACAAUGGGGGCAACCCUGAUCCAGCAAUGCCGCGUGUGUGAAGAAGGCCUGCGGGUUGUAAAGCACUUUCAGUUGGGAGGAAAAGUUAAUGGUUAAUACCCAUUAGCCCUGACGUUACCAACAGAAGAAGCACCGGCUAACUCCGUGCCAGCAGCCGCGGUAAUACGGAGGGUGCGAGCGUUAAUCGGAAUUACUGGGCGUAAAGCGCGCGUAGGUGGCUUGGUAAGUCGGAUGUGAAAGCCCUGGGCUUAACCUGGGAACUGCAUUCGAUACUGCCUGGCUAGAGUAUGAUAGAGGGUAGUGGAAUUCCUGGUGUAGCGGUGAAAUGCGUAGAUAUCAGGAGGAACAUCAGUGGCGAAGGCGGCUACCUGGAUCAAUACUGACACUGAGGUGCGAAAGCGUGGGGAGCAAACAGGAUUAGAUACCCCCGUAGUCC